CGCCUCUUGAAUUAAUAUAAGAGGUCCAGCCUGCCCAGUGACCCUGUUCACGGCCGCGGUAUCCUAACCGUGCGAAGGUAGCGUAAUCACUUGUUCUUUAAAUGAGGACUUGUAUGAACGGCAUCACGAAGGUUAUACUGUCUCCUUUUUCUAAUCAGUGAACCUAAUCUCCCCGUGAAGAAGCGGGGAUGUAAUUAUAAGACGAGAAGACCCUAUGGAGCUUAAAACAACACAGCACUUGCUAAAAAACUAAACAAUUUCAGAAUUCUCAUUUUCUAAGCAACAUGACUGUAAGUUUUUGGUUGGGGUGACCACGGAGUAUAAUAUAACCUCCAUGUUGGAAGAAUUUUAUUCUAAGCCAAAAAUUACAUUUUUAAGCAUCAAUAAAUUGACAUCUAUUGACCCAAUAUAUUUGAACAACGAACCAAGUUACCCUAGGGAUAACAGCGCAAUCCACUUCAAGAGCUCCUAUCGACAAGUGGGUUUACGACCUCGAUGUUGGAUCAGGGUAUCCCAGUGGUGCAGCCGCUACUAAAGGUUCGUUUGUUCAACGAUUAAAACCCU
rnacentral:rRNA from 1 species